rnacentral:rRNA from 1 species
UACGUAGGGGGCAAGCGUUGUCCGGAUUUACUGGGCGUAAAGCGCACGUAGGCGGAUUGUUAAGUCGGGGGUGAAAUCCUGGAGCUCAACUCCAGAACUGCCUUUGAUACUGGAGAGCUAGAGUCCGGAAGAGGUGAGUGGAACUGCGAGUGUAGAGGUGAAAUUCGUAGAUAUUCGCAAGAACACCAGUGGCGAAGGCGGCUCACUGGUCCGGUACUGACGCUGAGGUGCGAAAGCGUGGGGAGCAAACAGG